ensembl:lncRNA
AGAGGAGGAGAGCAGGCUGGGUUGUGUAGGAAGGAGGAGAGCAGGCUGGGUUGUGUAGGAAGGAGGAGAGCAGGCUGGGUUGUGUAGGGAGGAGGAGAGCAGGCUGGGUUGUGUAGUGAAGAGAAGAGCAGGCUGGGUUGUGUAGGGAGGAGGAGAGCAGGCUGGGUUGUGUAGGAAGGAGGAGAGCAGGCUGGGUUGUGUAGGGAGGAGGAGAGCAGGCUGGGUUGUGUUGGGAGGAGGAGAGCAGGCUGGGUUGUGUAGGGAGGAGGAGAGCAGGCUGGGUUGUGUAGGAAGGAGGAGAGCAGGCUGGGUUGUGUAGGGAGGAGGAGAACAGGCUGGGUUGUGUAGGGAGGAGGACAGCAGGCUGGGUUGUGUAGGAAGGAGGAGAGCAGGCUGGGUUGUGUAGGGAGGAGGAGAACAGGCUGGGUUGUGUAGGGAGGAGGACAGCAGGCUGGGUUGUGUAGGGAGGAGGAGGACAGGCUGGGUUGUGUAGGGAGGAGGAGGACAGGCUGGGUUGUGUAGGGAGGAGGAGAGCAGGCUGGGUUGUGUAGGGAGGAGGAGGAGAGCAGGCUGAGUUGUGUAGGGAGGAGGAGAGCAGGCUGGGUUGUGUAGGGAGGAGGAGAGCAGGCUGGGUUGUGUAGGGAGGAGGAGAGCAGGCUGGGUUGUGUAGGGAGGAGGAGAGCAGGCUGGGUUGUGUAGGGAGGAGGAGAACAGGCUGGGUUGUGUAGGGAGGAGGAGAGCAGGCUGGGUUGUGUAGGGAGGAGGAGAGCAGGCUGGGUUGUGUAGGGAGGAGGAGAGCAG